rnacentral:rRNA from 1 species
GGUUAAGCGACUAAGCGUACACGGUGGAUGCCCUGGCAGUCAGAGGCGAUGAAGGACGUGCUAAUCUGCGAUAAGCGUCGGUAAGGUGAUAUGAACCGUUAUAACCGGCGAUUUCCGAAUGGGGAAACCCAGUGUGUUUCGACACACUAUCAUUAACUGAAUCCAUAGGUUAAUGAGGCGAACCGGGGGAACUGAAACAUCUAAGUACCCCGAGGAAAAGAAAUCAACCGAGAUUCCCCCAGUAGCGGCGAGCGAACGGGGAGCAGCCCAGAGCCUGAAUCAGUAUGUGUGUUAGUGGAAGCGUCUGGAAAGGCGCGCGAUACAGGGUGACAGCCCCGUACACAAAAAUGCACAUGCUGUGAGCUCGAUGAGUAGGGCGGGACACGUGGUAUCCUGUCUGAAUAUGGGGGGACCAUCCUCCAAGGCUAAAUACUCCUGACUGACCGAUAGUGAACCAGUACCGUGAGGGAAAGGCGAAAAGAACCCCGGCGAGGGGAGUGAAAAAGAACCUGAAACCGUGUACGUACAAGCAGUGGGAGCACGCUUCGGCGUGUGACUGCGUACCUUUUGUAUAAUGGGUCAGCGACUUAUAUUCUGUAGCAAGGUUAACCGAAUAGGGGAGCCGAAGGGAAACCGAGUCUUAACUGGGCGUUAAGUUGCAGGGUAUAGACCCGAAACCCGGUGAUCUAGCCAUGGGCAGGUUGAAGGUUGGGUAACACUAACUGGAGGACCGAACCGACUAAUGUUGAAAAAUUAGCGGAUGACUUGUGGCUGGGGGUGAAAGGCCAAUCAAACCGGGAGAUAGCUGGUUCUCCCCGAAAGCUAUUUAGGUAGCGCCUCGUGAAUUCAUCUCCGGGGGUAGAGCACUGUUUCGGCAAGGGGGUCAUCCCGACUUACCAACCCGAUGCAAACUGCGAAUACCGGAGAAUGUUAUCACGGGAGACACACGGCGGGUGCUAACGUCCGUCGUGAAGAGGGAAACAACCCAGACCGCCAGCUAAGGUCCCAAAGUCAUGGUUAAGUGGGAAACGAUGUGGGAAGGCCCAGACAGCCAGGAUGUUGGCUUAGAAGCAGCCAUCAUUUAAAGAAAGCGUAAUAGCUCACUGGUCGAGUCGGCCUGCGCGGAAGAUGUAACGGGGCUAAACCAUGCACCGAAGCUGCGGCAGCGACGCUUAUGCGUUGUUGGGUAGGGGAGCGUUCUGUAAGCCUGUGAAGGUGUGCUGUGAGGCAUGCUGGAGGUAUCAGAAGUGCGAAUGCUGACAUAAGUAACGAUAAAGCGGGUGAAAAGCCCGCUCGCCGGAAGACCAAGGGUUCCUGUCCAACGUUAAUCGGGGCAGGGUGAGUCGACCCCUAAGGCGAGGCCGAAAGGCGUAGUCGAUGGGAAACAGGUUAAUAUUCCUGUACUUGGUGUUACUGCGAAGGGGGGACGGAGAAGGCUAUGUUGGCCGGGCGACGGUUGUCCCGGUUUAAGCGUGUAGGCUGGUUUUCCAGGCAAAUCCGGAAAAUCAAGGCUGAGGCGUGAUGACGAGGCACUACGGUGCUGAAGCAACAAAUGCCCUGCUUCCAGGAAAAGCCUCUAAGCAUCAGGUAACAUCAAAUCGUACCCCAAACCGACACAGGUGGUCAGGUAGAGAAUACCAAGGCGCUUGAGAGAACUCGGGUGAAGGAACUAGGCAAAAUGGUGCCGUAACUUCGGGAGAAGGCACGCUGAUAUGUAGGUGAAGCGACUUGCUCGUGGAGCUGAAAUCAGUCGAAGAUACCAGCUGGCUGCAACUGUUUAUUAAAAACACAGCACUGUGCAAACACGAAAGUGGACGUAUACGGUGUGACGCCUGCCCGGUGCCGGAAGGUUAAUUGAUGGGGUCAGCGCAAGCGAAGCUCUUGAUCGAAGCCCCGGUAAACGGCGGCCGUAACUAUAACGGUCCUAAGGUAGCGAAAUUCCUUGUCGGGUAAGUUCCGACCUGCACGAAUGGCGUAAUGAUGGCCAGGCUGUCUCCACCCGAGACUCAGUGAAAUUGAACUCGCUGUGAAGAUGCAGUGUACCCGCGGCAAGACGGAAAGACCCCGUGAACCUUUACUAUAGCUUGACACUGAACAUUGAGCCUUGAUGUGUAGGAUAGGUGGGAGGCUUUGAAGUGUGGACGCCAGUCUGCAUGGAGCCGACCUUGAAAUACCACCCUUUAAUGUUUGAUGUUCUAACGUUGACCCGUAAUCCGGGUUGCGGACAGUGUCUGGUGGGUAGUUUGACUGGGGCGGUCUCCUCCUAAAGAGUAACGGAGGAGCACGAAGGUUGGCUAAUCCUGGUCGGACAUCAGGAGGUUAGUGCAAUGGCAUAAGCCAGCUUGACUGCGAGCGUGACGGCGCGAGCAGGUGCGAAAGCAGGUCAUAGUGAUCCGGUGGUUCUGAAUGGAAGGGCCAUCGCUCAACGGAUAAAAGGUACUCCGGGGAUAACAGGCUGAUACCGCCCAAGAGUUCAUAUCGACGGCGGUGUUUGGCACCUCGAUGUCGGCUCAUCACAUCCUGGGGCUGAAGUAGGUCCCAAGGGUAUGGCUGUUCGCCAUUUAAAGUGGUACGCGAGCUGGGUUUAGAACGUCGUGAGACAGUUCGGUCCCUAUCUGCCGUGGGCGCUGGAGAACUGAGGGGGGCUGCUCCUAGUACGAGAGGACCGGAGUGGACGCAUCACUGGUGUUCGGGUUGUCAUGCCAAUGGCACUGCCCGGUAGCUAAAUGCGGAAGAGAUAAGUGCUGAAAGCAUCUAAGCACGAAACUUGCCCCGAGAUGAGUUCUCCCUGACCCUUUAAGGGUCCUGAAGGAACGUUGAAGACGACGACGUUGAUAGGCCGGGUGUGUAAGCGCAGCGAUGCGUUGAGCUAACCGGUACUAAUGAACCGUGAGGCUUAACCUU